GGCUGAACCAAAGGUAGUGGGUUAUCUCAAUGGAUGGUUCACAAUCAGAGAUUGAACUCCUGUUCUAUACCUUCCUUCCUCCACUACUGCACUUGACUAGAGAUAG
rnacentral:Y_RNA from 1 species